rnacentral:rRNA from 1 species
GUCGAGGGGCAGCAUGGUCUUAGCUUGCUAAGGCUGAUGGCGACCGGCGCACGGGUGAGUAACACGUAUCCAACCUGCCGUCUACUCUUGGCCAGCCUUCUGAAAGGAAGAUUAAUCCAGGAUGGGAUCAUGAGUUCACAUGUCCGCAUGAUUAAAGGUAUUUUCCGGUAGACGAUGGGGAUGCGUUCCAUUAGAUAGUAGGCGGGGUAACGGCCCACCUAGUCAACGAUGGAUAGGGGUUCUGAGAGGAAGGUCCCCCACAUUGGAACUGAGACACGGUCCAAACUCCUACGGGAGGCAGCAGUGAGGAAUAUUGGUCAAUGGGCGAUGGCCUGAACCAGCCAAGUAGCGUGAAGGAUGACUGCCCUAUGGGUUGUAAACUUCUUUUAUAAAGGAAUAAAGUCGGGUAUGCAUACCCGUUUGCAUGUACUUUAUGAAUAAGGAUCGGCUAACUCCGUGCCAGCAGCCGCGGUAAUACGGAGGAUCCGAGCGUUAUCCGGAUUUAUUGGGUUUAAAGGGAGCGUAGAUGGAUGUUUAAGUCAGUUGUGAAAGUUUGCGGCUCAACCGUAAAAUUGCAGUUGAUACUGGAUGUCUUGAGUGCAGUUGAGGCAGGCGGAAUUCGUGGUGUAGCGGUGAAAUGCUUAGAUAUCACGAAGAACUCCGAUUGCGAAGGCAGCCUGCUAAG